UAGUUGAAGACAUCUGUAUCUACCUCAAAGAAGGCAUAGAGAGACACAUUAAAGAAUAUGUGAAUUCUGAAAUUGGUGAGUUGGGGAUUGCACAGACAGUGGAAGUUUUGCAAAACCUACUUGGUGUCACACAUGGGUGUGAAAUUACUUUUUGGACUCAUUUAUGCACUUAAACUGAACUACCAGAAGAACAUCAGGUGCACCUUUGACCUUUCAAAAAUCCUAAUGGAACUGGACUUGAUACAACCAAGCAAUCACUGAAAGAUGCUUCAGUGAAUACCUGACAGACACGCUGAUGCAUCCCCCUCAAAGUGGGUACAUUUUUGUACAUUUACAAGUGACCUUUUUAACAUUAAAGGAAUAUUGCACUUUCAUUAAACAAAAAUCCUGAUAAUUUACUGUCUGUCAUCGAAAAUGCUUGUCUUUUUUUGUUCAGUCGAGAAGAAAUUGUUUUUUGAGAAAAACAUUCCAGGAUUUUUCUUAAUUUAAUAGACCUUAUUGGACCUCAACAGUAAAGUUUCAAAGCAGCUUUAAAGGGCUCUAAACGAUCCCAAUCGAGGCAUAAGGGUUUUAUCUAUUCAAAAGAUUAUCAUUUUUGGCAAGAAAACUUUUAAAACACAACAACUUGUCUUGCAUUAUCCAUGUGAUACACAGUGCGACAUUGUGUACUACGUAAUAACGUUGAAGUUUACACAUCACAAAUG